rnacentral:rRNA from 1 species
GACGAACGCUGGCGGCGUGCUUAACACAUGCGAGUCGAACGGUAAGGCCCUUCGGGGUACACGAGUGGCGAACGGGUGAGUAACACGUGGGUGAUCUGCCCUGCACUUCGGGAUAAGCCUGGGAAACUGGGUCUAAUACCGGAUAGGACUCCUGGCUUCAUGGUUGGGGGUGGAAAGCUUUUGCGGUGUGGGAUGGGCGCCGCGGCCUAUCAGCUUGUUGGUGGGGUAAUGGCCUACCAAGGCGACGACGGGUAGCCGGCCUGAGAGGGUGACCGGUCACACGGGGACUGAGAUACGGCCCAGACUCCUACGGGAGGCAGCAGUGGGGAAUAUUGCACAAGGGGCGCAAGCCUGAUGCAGCGACGCCGCGUGAGGGAUGACGGCCUUCGGGUUGUAAACCUCUUUCAGUAGGGACGAAGCGCAAGUGACGGUACCUACAGAAGAAGGACCGGCCAACUACGUGCCAGCCGCCGCCGUAA